AAGCGGCGGAAACGUCGUGGCCGAGAGGAGCCUGAACAGGUGGUGCAUGGCUGUCGUCAGCUCGUGUCGUGAGAUGUUGGGUUAAGUCCCGCAACGAGCGCAACCCUCGUCGCAUGUUGCCAGCGGUUCGGCCGGGCACCCAUGCGAGACCGCCGGCGUUAAGCCGGAGGAAGGUGGGGACGACGUCAAGUCAUCAUGCCCCUUAUGUCCUGGGCUGCACACGUGCUACAAUGGUCGGCACAAUGGGCUGCCAGCCCGCGAGGGCGAGCGAAUCCCUAAAGCCGGCCCCAGUUCGGAUUGGAGGCUGCAACCCGCCUCCAUGAAGUCGGAGUUGCUAGUAAUCGCGGAUCAGCACGCCGCGGUGAAUGCGUUCCCGGGCCUUGUACACACCGCCCGUCACACCACCCGAGUCGAUUGCACCCGAAGUCGCCGGCCCAACCCGCAAGGGAGGGAGGCGCCGAAGGUGUGGUUGGUAAGGGGGGUGAAGUCGUAACAAGGUAGCCGUACGAGAACGUGCGGCUGGAUCACCU
rnacentral:rRNA from 1 species